AAAUAAAUUUUAAAUUUAAAGUAGUAUUUGUAAAUAUGAAAUUUCUAAAUACGAAACGAAGAAACGAACGAAACAGAAUCGAAUGGAUUCUUAUCGAUUCGA
rnacentral:tRNA from 1 species